rnacentral:snRNA from 1 species
GAGCUCUGGUUCCUUUGCAUUUGACCGAGAAAAUCUUUCGCCUUUUACUAAAGAUUUCCGUGCGUAGGAGCAAUUACGAGUAUUUCAUAAUUUUUGGAAUCCCCUGCAGACAAGACAGCAU